GACGAACCGUACGAACGUUAUUCGGAAUUACUGGGCUUAAAGGGUGCGUAGGCUGCGCAGCAAGUUGGGUGUGAAAUCCCACGGCUCAACCGUGGAACGGCUGGGUAUACUGCCUGUCUUGAGCCAACUAGGGGCGAGCGGAACAGACGGUGGAGCGGUGAAAUGCGUAGACAUCGUCUGGAACGCCGAAGGUGAAAACAGCUCGCUGGGGUUGUGCUGACGCUGAGACACGAAAGCCAGGGGAGCGAACGGG
rnacentral:rRNA from 1 species